UACGUAGGCAGCGAGCGUUGUUCGGAGUUACUGGGCGUAAAGCGUGCGUAGGCGGUGUCUUAAGUUUGUUGUGAAAUCUCCCGGCUUAACCGGGAGGGUGCGGCGAAUACUGAGAUGCUGGAGUGCCGGAGAGGUAAGCGGAAUUCCUGGUGUAGCGGUGAAAUGCGUAGAUAUCAGGAGGAACACCUGCGGUGUAGACGGCUUACUGGACGGUAACUGACGCUGAGGCACGAAGCGUGGGUAGCAACAGG
rnacentral:rRNA from 1 species